rnacentral:rRNA from 1 species
AGGACGAACGCUGGCGGCGUGCUUAACACAUGCAAGUCGAACGGGGUCCAACCAGUGGCAACACUGGGGAAGUACUUAGUGGCGAACGGGUGAGUAACACGUGAGCAACCUGCCCCGAAGACCGGGAUAACAGCGGGAAACCGCUGCUAAUACCGGAUGUCCCCACCGGGCCGCAUGACCUGGUGAGGAAAUGGACUCCGCUUCGGGAGGGACUCGCGGCCUAUCAGCUUGUUGGUGGGGUAAUGGCCUACCAAGGCGUCGACGGGUAGCUGGUCUGAGAGGACGAUCAGCCACACUGGGACUGAGACACGGCCCAGACUCCUACGGGAGGCAGCAGUGGGGAAUCUUGCGCAAUGGGCGAAAGCCUGACGCAGCAACGCCGCGUGAGGGACGAAGGCCUUCGGGUUGUAAACCUCUUUCAGCAGGGACGAUUGUGACGGUACCUGCAGAAGAAGCCCCGGCAACUACGUGCCAGCAGCCGCGGUAA